UACGUAGGGGGCUAGCGUUGUCCGGAAUCAUUGGGCGUAAAGAGCGUGUAGGCGGUCCGGUAAGUCCGCUGUGAAAGUCGGGGGCUCAACCCUCGAAUGCCGGUGGAUACUGUCGGGCUAGAGUGUGGAAGAGGCGAGUGGAAUUCCUGGUGUAGCGGUGAAAUGCGCAGAUAUCAGGAGGAACACCUAUGGCGAAGGCAGCUCGCUGGGACGUUACUGACGCUGAGACGCGAAAGCGUGGGGAGCAAACAGG
rnacentral:rRNA from 1 species